rnacentral:rRNA from 1 species
GACGAACGCUGGCGGCGUGCUUAACACAUGCAAGUCGUACGGUAAGGCCCUUUCGGGGGUACACGAGUGGCGAACGGGUGAGUAACACGUGAGUAACCUGCCCACAACUUUGGGAUAACGCUAGGAAACUGGUGCUAAUACUGGAUAUGUGCUCCUGCUGCAUGGUGGGGGUUGGAAAGCUCCGGCGGUUGUGGAUGGACUCGCGGCCUAUCAGCUUGUUGGUGGGGUAGUGGCCUACCAAGGCGGCGACGGGUAGCCGGCCUGAGAGGGUGACCGGCCACAUUGGGACUGAGAUACGGCCCAGACUCCUACGGAGGCAGCAGUGGGGAAUAUUGCACAAUGGGCGCAAGCCUGAUGCAGCAACGCCGCGUGCGGGAUGACGGCCUUCGGGUUGUAAACCGCUUUCAGCAGGGACGAAGCUUUUUGUGUCGGUACCUGCAGAAGAAGCACCGGCUAACUACGUG